CUCAAGAUGGCGCUGUGAGAACAACCCAGGAUUGGAGUUCUCGUUGUGUCUGCGGAGAGGUAUAGAGUUCAAGUACCAUUUGGUCUCA
rnacentral:lncRNA from 13 species